rnacentral:rRNA from 1 species
CAAUAGCGUAUAUUAAAGUUGUUGCAGUUAAAAAGCUCGUAGUUGGAUUUCUGGUGGGAGCGAUCGGUCUGGCGCUUAGCGCGAGUACUUGCAUCGUCUCCGGCCAUCCUUGGGGAGAGUCUGUCUGGCAUUAGGUUGUCGGGCAGAGGAUCCUCAUCGUUUACUGUGAAAAAAUUAGAGUGUUCAAAGCAGGCUUAUGCCGUUGAAUAAAUUAGCAUGGAAUAAUAAGAUAGGACUUUGGUACUAUUUUGUUGGUUUGCGCACCAAAGUAAUGAUUAAUAGGGACAGUUGGGGGUAUUCGUAUUCCGUUGUCAGAGGUGAAAUUCUUGGAUUUACGGAAGACGAACUACUGCGAAAGCAUUUACCAAGGAUGUUUUCAUUAA